rnacentral:rRNA from 1 species
AUUGAACGCUGGCGGCAGGCCUAACACAUGCAAGUCGAGCGGAUGAAGGGAGCUUGCUCCUGGAUUCAGCGGCGGACGGGUGAGUAAUGCCUAGGAAUCUGCCUGGUAGUGGGGGAUAACGUCCGGAAACGGGCGCUAAUACCGCAUACGACCUGAGGGAGAAAGUGGGGGAUCUUCGGACCUCACGCUAUCAGAUGAGCCUAGGUCGGAUUAGCUAGUUGGUGGGGUAAAGGCCUACCAAGGCGACGAUCCGUAACUGGUCUGAGAGGAUGAUCAGUCACACUGGAACGGAGACACGGUCCAGACUCCUACGGGAGGCAGCAGUGGGGAAUAUUGGACAAUGGGCGAAAGCCUGAUCCAGCCAUGCCGCGUGUGUGAAGAAGGUCUUCGGAUUGUAAAGCACUUUAAGUUGGGAGGAAGGGCAGUAAGUUAAUACCUUGCUGUUUUGACGUUACCAACAGAAUAAGCACCGGCUAACUACGUG